rnacentral:rRNA from 1 species
CCUACGGGUGGCAGCAGUGAGGAAUAUUGGUCAAUGGGCUUACGCCUGAACCAGCCAAGUCGCGUGAGGGAAGACUGCCCUAUGGGUUGUAAACCUCUUUUGUCAGGGAGCAACGCCGGCUACGUGUAGCCGGACUGAGAGUACCUGAAGAAAAAGCAUCGGCUAACUCCGUGCCAGCAGCCGCGGUAAUACGGAGGGUGCAAGCGUUGUCCGGAAUCAUUGGGCGUAAAGAGUUCGUAGGCGGCAUGUAAAGUCAGGUGUUAAAGGCGCAGGCUCAACCUGUGUAUGGCACUUGAUACUUGCAAGCUGGAAUGCGGUAGAGGUAAAGGGAAUUCCUGGUGUAGCGGUGAAAUGCUUAGAUAUCAGGAGGAACAUCGGUGGCGUAAGCGCUUUACUGGGCCGUAAUUGACGCUGAGGAACGAAAGCCAGGGUAGCAAAUGGGAUUAGAUACCCUAGUAGUC